UGAUUUAGUUUCCAUCACUGAAGUACUGCCAGGAGAGGAAAAAUAAAACUACCAUACUGUGGAUGAGCUGCAAUCAAUAGUGGUCGCACAAAAGAGGGAAUGGAAUAUUCAGCCUUUCAGAGCAUCUCAGUAGAAUACCAUUUUUGUGCUGCAGUGAGUCAAUGAGGAUCUGCUUCUCCACUGGACAACAAAAUGAUCCAGAGUACAAGCCUUUACUCUGGGAACCAUUGCCAAGGAGAUGAUUAUUCAUUAAUGAUAUAAUCUUUGACCUGGAAGCCCUGUGCUCUGAGCACAGCCUGUGAAGCAACAGGGCCCUGGGGACAACCACACGUGUGUUCGAAGUCCAGCGCUGCAGGGAGGUGAGGGGUGCUGACACCAGGUUUUGAAUGGGCUGAGUGGUUUAAAUGAAAAGAGCAGCCAGUCACUGAAGAAAGAGUGAAUAACUCUCUCUGCCCGCCUGCUUUAGUGAGGACACGUUUACCAGGUGCCUCAUGAGGGACUCGAGGAAAAUACCAGAGACACCCAACUCAUUUCAUUUUGAAAACUGUGAAGGGAGAUGGUAGCUGUAGGUACCAGGAAUGUGCUGUCAUUGAAAUACAGUCCCAGUGUUUCUCAGCCUGCUCAUCCUGUGCAGUCUGUGAGAACCAGGGCACAGGGGCAAUGUAAAGUUGGAGCUGGAGAUGCCAGGGCCUGCAGCUGCCUUAGCUCAGGGUCAGCCCACAGCACACGGCUGCCUCAGGGCCCCUGGGGGCCCAGGAAGCCCCAGGUGCAAAUGUGUCUGCGUUGCACAGCUCAGACUCUGGACACACAGAGAAGCCUGUGGUCCCACAGCUCUGCAGGUGAACUAUUGGAAAUACUGAGUUUGGACUGCGGUUUAUCCAAGGUUCAUCAAGCCAGGUACGUUUUUACAAAGCAGAUUGAUUUUUACAGAUAAACCACUUCUGGACUAAAAAAGAAAAACAAGAUAAACUGUUGGAGAGCUCUCAGCUGGGUCCUUGCAUGUGGUCUUAUGUGCUGAAAAGAGAGGAGGCCAAAAGAGUUCAGAUCAACAACACAGGG
ensembl:lncRNA